UUCCGGAUGAGUUGCGAACGGGUGAGUAACGCGUAGGUAACCUGCCUGGUAGCGGGGGAUAACUAUUGGAAACGAUAGCUAAUACCGCAUGACAACAGUUAUUGCAUGAUAGCUGUUUAAAAGGGGCAACUGCUCCACUACCAGAUGGACCUGCGUUGUAUUAGCUAGUUGGUGAGGUAACGGCUCACCAAGGCGACGAUACAUAGCCGACCUGAGAGGGUGAUCGGCCACACUGGGACUGAGACACGGCCCAGACUCCUACGGGAGGCAGCAGUAGGGAAUCUUCGGCAAUGGACGGAAGUCUGACCGAGCAACGCCGCGUGAGUGAAGAAGGUUUUCGGAUCGUAAAGCUCUGUUGUAAGAGAAGAACGAGUGUGAGAGUGGAAAGUUCACACUGUGACGGUAUCUUACCAGAAAGGGACGGCUAACUACGUGCCAGCAGCCGCGGUAAUACGUAGGUCCCGAGCGUUGUCCGGAUUUAUUGGGCGUAAAGCGAGCGCAGGCGGUUAGAUAAGUCUGAAGUUAAAGGCUGUGGCUUAACCA
rnacentral:rRNA from 1 species